GUGGGGAAUCUUAGACAAUGGGCGCAAGCCUGAUCUAGCCAUGCCGCGUGAGCGAUGAAGGCCUUAGGGUUGUAAAGCUCUUUCGCUGGGGAAGAUAAUGACUGUACCCAGUAAAGAAGCCCCGGCUAACUCCGUGCCAGCAGCCGCGGUAAUACGGAGGGGGCUAGCGUUGUUCGGAAUUACUGGGCGUAAAGCGCGCGUAGGCGGAUUGGAAAGUUGGGGGUGAAAUCCCGGGGCUCAACCUCGGAACUGCCUUCAAAACUCCCAGUCUUGAGUUCGAGAGAGGUGAGUGGAAUUCCGAGUGUAGAGGUGAAAUUCGUAGAUAUUCGGAGGAACACCAGUGGCGAAGGCGGCUCACUGGCUCGAUACUGACGCUGAGGUGCGAAAGCGUGGGGAGCAAACAGGAUUAGAAACCCUUGUAGUCC
rnacentral:rRNA from 1 species